rnacentral:misc_RNA from 1 species
UCCGGCUUAUCACCGGCAGUUUCCUUAGAGUGCUCAGCUUGACCUGGUAGCAACAAAGGAUGAGGGUUGCGCUCGUUGCGGGACUUAACCCAACAUCUCACGACACGAGCUGACGACAGCCAUGCAGCACCUGUGCACCUCCCACCCGAAGUGAAGGAAUGCUUUUCGGCAUUCCAUAGAGGGCAUGUCAAAUCCUGGUAAGGUUCUUCGCGUUGCCUCGAAUUAAACCACAUGUUCCACCGCUUGUGCGGGUCCCCGUCAAUUUCUUUGAGUUUUAAUCUUGCGACCGUACUCCCCAGGCGGGGUGCUUAACGCGUUAGCUACGCUACUGAGGGGUAACCCCCCAACAGCUAGCACCCAUCGUUUACAGCGUGGACUAC